rnacentral:rRNA from 1 species
CUACUGCAAGUCGAACGCUUCUUUCCUCCCGAGUGCUUGCACUCAAUUGGAAAGAGGAGUGGCGGACGGGUGAGUAACACGUGGGUAACCUACCCAUCAGAGGGGGAUAACACUUGGAAACAGGUGCUAAUACCGCAUAACAGUUUAUGCCGCAUGGCAUAAGAGUGAAAGGCGCUUUCGGGUGUCGCUGAUGGAUGGACCCGCGGUGCAUUAGCUAGUUGGUGAGGUAACGGCUCACCAAGGCCACGAUGCAUAGCCGACCUGAGAGGGUGAUCGGCCACACUGGGACUGAGACACGGCCCAGACUCCUACGGGAGGCAGCAGUAGGGAAUCUUCGGCAAUGGACGAAAGUCUGACCGAGCAACGCCGCGUGAGUGAAGAAGGUUUUCGGAUCGUAAAACUCUGUUGUUAGAGAAGAACAAGGACGUUAGUAACUGAACGUCCCCUGACGGUAUCUAACCAGAAAGCCACGGCUAACUACGUGCCAGCAGCCGCGGUAAUACGUAGGUGGCAAGCGUUGUCCGGAUUUAUUGGGCGUAAAGCGAGCGCAGGCGGUUUCUUAAGUCUGAUGUGAAAGCCCCCGGCUCAACCGGGGAGGGUCAUUGGAAACUGGGAGACUUGAGUGCAGAAGAGGAGAGUGGAAUUCCAUGUGUAGCGGUGAAAUGCGUAGAUAUAUGGAGGAACACCAGUGGCGAAGGCGGCUCUCUGGUCUGUAACUGACGCUGAGGCUCGAAAGCGUGGGGAGCAAACAGGAGAUACCCUGGUAGUCCACGCCGUAAACGAUGAGUGCUAAGUGUUGGAGGGUUUCCGCCCUUCAGUGCUGCAGCAAACGCAUUAAGCACUCCGCCUGGGGAGUACGACCGCAAGGUUGAAACUCAAAGGAAUUGACGGGGGCCCGCACAAGCGGUGGACAUGUGGUUUAAUUCGAAGCAACGCGAAUACCCUGACAUCCUUUGACCUCUAGAGAUAGAGCUUCCUUCGGGGAAAGUGACGGGGGCAUGCGUCAGCUCGGUCGGAUGGCCAACUUGACACUCA